UCGGGAAUUUUGGGCAAUGGGCGAAAGCCUGACCCAGCAACGCCGCGUGAGGGAUGAAGUAUUUCGGUAUGUAAACCUCGAAAGAAUGGGAAGAAUAAAUGACGGUACCAUUUAUAAGCUCCGGCUAACUACGUGCCAGCAGCCGCGGUAAUACGUAGGGAGCAAGCGUUGUUCGGAUUCACUGGGCGUAAAGGGCGCGUAGACGGCGCGGUAAGUCACUUGUGAAAUCUCUGAGCUUAACUCAGAACGGCCAAGUGAUACUGCUGUGCUAGAGUGCGGAAGAGGCAACCGGAAUUCUUGGUGUAGCGGUGAAAUGCGUAGAUAUCAAGAGGAACACCUGAGGCGAAGGCGGGUUGCUGGGCCGACACUGACGUUGAUGCGCGAAAGCCAGGGGAGCAAACG
rnacentral:rRNA from 1 species